CGGGCCGAGAUCGGCACCGGCGGGGACCGAUGAGGCUGGGGGUGGCGGAUAGUCCCAGCUAUGGCUAAAUGAACGUAAUUUCCUUGUAACUUCUGGCUGCCCCUGGCUUUGUGCGAGACAGGGCUGCGUUUAUGCCGCUGAGGAGAGCGGCACCGUUACCGGUUAACGGCAGAUAGUUCCCCCGGUGUCUUUGGCCCUGUCGCUGCCAUUAGCACAUGGGUAUGUGCCUGAAGAACCGGCCCGGCCCCUGGAGGAGGAGACACGUGCCGGCAGCUGUGGCAGCGGGGGCGGCCUCUCCCCUGGGCCUUCCCUGGGCUUGCUGCUUUGUGUUGACUAGAAAAGAGGAGACAAUUGUUCACACACCAGAUGCGAAGUACUGCAUCACCCGGGUUUGAUUCUGGCUUGUAAAGAAUAUGUCCGAACAAAAGCCUUUCAUAUCCUGUGCUCUUUGUUCUGCUAAGAACCGUAAUGGUUGUCAGAACUGGAUUCCCGUGUGCCCUCAAUUACAGGCUAUCUGUAAAUCAUCAAAAGGAAUAGAUUGAAGAAACCAUGGCCAAUCAACGGGAUUACAUUAGCAGACCUAUUUGCAACGGAAUUUCUGUUCCUGAAAAUAAGAUCAAUUCCUUAGUGGCUGAAGGUCAUGGACAACAAAUUCUAAAAGUACUACAAAAGUUCAGAGAACAAAAUAUAUUUUUUGACUUUAAAAUUCUUGUGAAAGAUGAAAUAAUUCCUUGUCAUCGUUGUGUACUGGCAGCAUGCAGUGAUUUCUUCAGGUAAACCCAAUUUUGGCAUGAGUUUGCAGGAAAUGGAUUGUAAGCUCUCUGGGAGGGAGGGAAGGAAGGAAUGAAUAUAAUUACAAAAAUUAAAAAAUAAAUUAUCACAGCUUACAGAGUCUUGAGCAAAGCAUUCAAACAUCAUAUUAAGGAUA